rnacentral:rRNA from 1 species
AUGAACGCUGGCGGCGUGCCUAAUACAUGCAAGUCGAGCGAACAGACGAGAAGCUUGCUUCUCUGAUGUUAGCGGCGGACGGGUGAGUAACACGUGGAUAACCUACCUAUAAGACUGGGAUAACUUCGGGAAACCGGAGCUAAUACCGGAUGAUAUUUUGAACCGCAUGGUUCAAAAGUGAAAGACGGUCUUGCUGUCACUUAUAGAUGGAUCCGCGCUGCAUUAGCUAGUUGGUAAGGUAACGGCUUACCAAGGCAACGAUGCAUAGCCGACCUGAGAGGGUGAUCGGCCACACUGGAACUGAGACACGGUCCAGACUCCUACGGGAGGCAGCAGUAGGGAAUCUUCCGCAAUGGGCGAAAGCCUGACGGAGCAACGCCGCGUGAGUGAUGAAGGUCUUCGGAUCGUAAAACUCUGUUAUUAGGGAAGAACAUAUGUGUAAGUAACUGUGCACAUCUUGACGGUACCUAAUCAGAAAGCCACGGCUAACUACGUG